rnacentral:misc_RNA from 1 species
AUUUGAUGAAGAUUCAAUGAUGAGGGAUUCUCAGUGUUGUGUUUGUUUGGGAGAAUUUGAGAUCAAAGAGGAGUUACACCAACUACCUUCAUGUAAGCACAUUUUUCAUGUUGAAUGCAUACGCCAUUGGCUUCGUUCAAAUUUCUCUUGUCCACUCUGUCGAUGCCAUGUCCUUGUUACCAACAAAAAUCCGCAACCUCUACAACCACCACCUUCUAAUCACAAUCCCCCGAUUGUCAUCGAGGAGGAGAGGGAACAACGCGAUAUAACGAUUAGUAGAGAGGAGCAUGAGCAACA